CAGUCGCCGCGGGAAUACGUAGGUGGCAAGCGUUGUCCGGAAUUAUUGGGCGUAAAGCGCGCGCAGGUGGUUUAAUAAGUCUGAUGUGGAGGCCCACGACUCAACCGUGAAGGGUCAUUGGAAACUGUUAAACUUGAGUGCAGGAGAGAAAAGUGGAAUUCCUAGUGUAGCGGUGAAAUGCGUAGAGAUUAGGAGGAACACCAGUGGCGAAGGCGGCUUUUUGGCCUGUAACUGACACUGAGGCGCGAAAGCGGGGGGAGCAAACAGGAUUAGAUACCCCCGUAGUCCCUGUCUCUUAUAC
rnacentral:rRNA from 1 species